UCGGGCUCCCUCCAGGUGGGGCUCCCUCCAGGUGGGGCUCCCUCCAGGUGCAGCUCCCUGCAGAUGAUGAUGAUUCGAUUCAAAGACACAUGGGCAGCCUGACCAAAACAAGACAAAGAGCUGUUAACAUGUAUGCUACACCACGCUGCCUCACCUGCUUCCUUCAACAUUUGGUGUUUCCUCGCUCUGAACUCUGAAGAGUAGGAUCUGUGCUGCAGCUGGAAGGAUUUUCUUCAGAUUAAAGUUUACUUGUUGGCUGUUUUAGUUUUCUUUCAGUCAUAGUUUGUUUUUAUCUUUCAGCUAUAGUUUUAGUUUAGUCUGUUUGCUUUAAUUUUCAUUUGCAGUUUUCUCUUAACACACUUUGAUAACACAAUUUAAUAAUUUUAAAGUCUUAAUUUGUUUCAUGUUUGUGUUGUCAGCAUCUUCAAUUCCUAAUGGAUGUUUUGUUGUAGUUGUUUCCUUCUUUGUUAAUCAGCUGUGAUAUUUGUUUUCAUUUGAAGUUUGGAUAUUUUAUUAUAACAUUUGAUAAAUUUCCAUUAGGAAACAUGCUUACUGGGGAGAUAACUACAGACAAGUUUCCUCAGAACAAUGAAACCUGUAAGCUACUAUAAAUAAAACACACCUGGCAGAUAACAGAACAUAAUUACAGAAGUCACUGAUGCAGAAUGGACAGAGCAGUAGUUUUAUUACAAUAAAAUAUUGAACAG